GAUGAACGCUGACAGAAUGCUUAACACAUGCAAGUCUUUGGCGAAGCUGUGCUUGCACAGCCUAGCCAAGGCGGACGGGUGAGUAACGCGUAAGGAACUUGCCCUGCAGUCAGGGAUAACAGACGGAAACGACUGAUAAGACCUGGUAAAGUCAGGCGGACUCAUGUCCAGCCUGAUGAAAAGAGAUGCUGCAGGAGAGCCUUGCGUCCUAUUAGCUUGUUGGUGGGGUAACGGCCCACCAAGGCGAUGAUAGGUAGCCGGCCUGAGAGGGUGGACGGCCACAAGGCGACUGAGAUACGGCCCUUACUCCUACGGGAGGCAGCAGUGGGGAAUAUUGGACAAUGGGGGCAACCCUGAUCCAGCAAUUCUGUGUGCACGAUGAAGGUUUUCGGAUUGUAAAGUGCUUUCAGCAGGGAAGAAAAAAUGACGGUACCUGCAGAAGAAGCGACGGCUAAAUACGUG
rnacentral:rRNA from 1 species